CUUUACUGUAGCCUGGUAUUGGGUUCGGGCUUUGACUGCGCAGGAUAGGUGGGAGACUAUGAAGCUGCCCUUGUGGGGGCAGUGGAGUCAUCAGUGAGAUACCACUCUGUCAAGGCUAGAAUUCUAACCGUCUGCCGUUAUCCGGCGACGGAACAGUAUCAGGUGGGCAGUUUGACUGGGGCGGUCGCCUCCUAAAUGGUAACGGAGGCGCGCAAAGGUUCCCUCAGGCUGGUUGGAAAUCAGCCGAAGAGUGUAAAGGCAGAAGGGAGCUUGACUGCAAGAGCAACAACUCAAGCAGGGACGAAAGUCGGCCUUAGUGAUCCGACGGUGCCGUGUGGAAGGGCCGUCGCUCAACGAAUAAAAGUUA
rnacentral:rRNA from 1 species